rnacentral:rRNA from 1 species
UACGGGGGGGGCAAGCGUUGUUCGGAAUUACUGGGCGUAAAGGGCUCGUAGGUGGCCAACUAAGUCGGACGUGAAAUCCCUCAGCUUAACUGGGGAACUGCGUCCGAUACUGGAUGGCUCGAGUUUGGGAGAGGGAUGCGGAAUUCCAGGUGUAGCGGUGAAAUGCGUAGAUAUCUGGAGGAACACCCGUGGCGAAGGCGGUUCUCUGGGACGGUACUGACGCUGAGACGCGAAAGCGUGGGGAGCGAACAGG